AGUGCAACGUUACAAUGAUAAAUGAGACAAACAUCUGUAUCGGCGUGAACAGCACGAUUCUUCAGCUCCAUCUGGACAGCCGGACGUUGAGCGGUCGUUUCUGUGACUUUGCUGUAGAGGAGU